CUUGGUAUCUCUAGCGAAGGGGGUACACCUGUUCCCAUCCCGAACACAGCAGUUAAGCCCUUCAGCGCCGAUGGUAGUUCCCACUUAGGGUGCGAGAGUAGGCCGAUGCCAAGA
rnacentral:rRNA from 2 species